CUUAGGAUUGAGUCAUAAUGGGAGCAUUCAGGGAUCCAUUGGUGGCAGUAAUUAAUCAUGCCGAGGAAGGUGAGCAACUCCUUCCGAGUAGUGGGUGUAGGAAUCCUCUGAAUGACCUCAAUACGUUUUGGACUCAAUUGUCUGGUGCCUAAAGCCAGAACAAAACCUAAGUAUUCAACCUUUGAUUUACACAAUUGCAUUUUGUGUUUAACAACCUUGUGACCUACAGUUGCUGACAGUAUCCACAGUGCUUGCCUCAUAGCUAGGGCUACAUAACAACAAAUCAUCAACAUUUUGCAAAAAGGACGGAACCAUGACCGGUGGUCCAUGUUUUUUAGAGUAUGUUGGAGUACCAACGAAUAAACAGCUGGGGAAUCCACAUAGCCUUGGGUAAGUGUGUCCAGGUAAACUGACAGCCUUCAAAAAAUAAAAACCAUAAGUAGCUGUGUCUCUUGAUCAAUAGGUAUAGAAAAAAUGCAUUACUUAAAUCAAUGACAGUGAAGCAAGUGGCAUCAUGUGGAAUGGCUGUAAUGAGGGAUGUCACAUCAGGGACAAUGGGUGAAAUGGGCACAAUUAAACUAUUCAGGGCUCUAAAGUCCUGUACUAAGCGAUAUGCUGGCCAGUGGUGUUGGGAGUGGGUCUGGUGUUGUUCUUGCCUACAGGGCAUAUUUUGAGAAUUGUGGGGUUGUUGGGGUGUGUGGGGUUUCCUGGGGUGUGGACACUCAUUCCUCCAGUGGCCAUAUUGGCCACAGUUGAAACAAGUGUUCCUGUCUAUUCCUCCUUGGUUACCCCUAUAACCCUGAUUUCCCUGUCUCCAUCCCCUUGCCCCUCUUUGACCACCCCUUCCACGGGCUUUAUGUGCUCCAUCCCAUCCUCGCUCUCAGCCUGUGUAGCUGGACAUAAUAUGUUGCAAUCCCUGAGCAUAAUAAGCAACCUUACUUUCCUAAAUCUUUUCUUAAUUCAAAACAACCUGCAUUUUCCUUUUCUAUAACCUUGGUAAGAAACUCUGAGCUAUCCAAAUUGGCCCAGUCUGAAAUCAAUUGUUUCACAAGCAAAGAAUACUGUGGCAACAUAUUACCAAGGCAUGACUGUAUUUUAAAGAUAUCUAUAUCAUCUCCAGACAUCAAACCUGCCUCAUCCUUCCAACACUUGUAAAAUUUCCUUACAAAAAUCAUAUUACCAAUCUCUUCCUUUGCAUCUUGCUUAUAUGCCAAAGCAGUGAAUAUAGACUGCUUAUUCUUCCAUAAUCCCAACAUUUCAGCUUCCACCUUGUUCCAAAUAUUAGCACAUCUUACUGAAGUACUAAGCUCAUAAUCACCAAUUCAUUUCAAACCAUAUAACUCAUACUCAGCAUCCAAUGUAAUAUUACACGUCAUCUCACAAAGCAAUAUCUUUGUAGAAACACAUAAUGGGUACCCAGCAGAUAUGCCAAUACAGAAAUCACAUUUAUGGGCACACAACUACACACUCUGUCUCCCUCCUAGGAAACACGGAUAGACACAAUAUAAAAGCAAUCUUA